rnacentral:lncRNA from 1 species
ACUAGGUUUUGAAAUCCCCCUACGGACUUAAUUGCUCGAGUAACAAAGGCCACAAAACGAGACUAGCCAAUCUACUUUUGCCCAUUUAUCUAAAGAUUUUAUCUAUAAAGAACAAUGGGUAUUGAAGUAGUUAUUCCUUUUCUUUUCUCUUUUUUUUUCUAUAUUUCUUUUUUUUAUUAUUUGCAAAGGUUCGAUUCGACAUUGUUUCAACAUGUGGGUUCUCUCUCAGGUAUCGAAUAAUAUCACUAGACAAUCUCUCCAUCAAAGGUCUUGUGCAAAUGUGUGUGCCAUCUUGGAAUUUAAAGUACAAAUCGGUCGAUACAAGUUUCAAAAAGACAACCUUACUCAACUACGUUCAAAUUAUCUAAAAGACACUACAUAUAUAUACUUUUCGAAAAUAUGCUAAACACCAACUACUCCUAAAGUUCGAGUGAGGGAAAGACAAAUUAGCUAAAAGUAUCUCUAUUUUUGGAUUUUUCUAAUUUUUCAUUUUUUAGGGUUUUUCAUUUUUUAAGAAUUACACUAAAGCCCUCCCCAUACCUAAAUCAUGCAUUGUCCUCAAUGUAUGCAAAAGAGAGAAUUGAAAUGAGAGAGUAAAGAGGAAAAAUACCUGAAUAGGGGAUGAAGGGGAUUUUUAUUAACGAACGAAGCACUAACACGACCCACACACUCACACAUUUCCUUCCCCAUACCUGAAUUUCACGAGGGAAGGUUCGAAGGAGGAACCACUUCAGCCGAUUCCGGAAGGAAAUAUGGGAGGAAGCUUCGAGAAAGAGUCAAAAUGUGUACGAAAAUUUUUAGGCACAAAGACUUUCUCUAGC